rnacentral:rRNA from 1 species
CAGUAGCCGCGGUAAUACGAAGGGUGCAAGCGUUACUCGGAAUUACUGGGCGUAAAGCGUGCGUAGGUGGUGGUUUAAGUCCGUUGUGAAAGCCCUGGGCUCAACCUGGGAAUUGCAGUGGAUACUGGGUCACUAGAGUGUGGUAGAGGAUAGUGGAAUUUCCGGUGUAGCAGUGAAAUGCGUAGAGAUCGGAAGGAACAUCUGUGGCGAAGGCGACUACCUGGGCCAACACUGACACUGAGGCACGAAAGCGUGGGGAGCAAACAGGAUUAGAGACCCCUGUAGUCCCUGUCUCUUAUAC